rnacentral:rRNA from 1 species
GACGAACGCUGGCGGCGUGCUUAACACAUGCAAGUCGAACGGAAAGGCCCUGCUUUUGUGGGGUGCUCGAGUGGCGAACGGGUGAGUAACACGUGAGUAACCUGCCCUUGACUUUGGGAUAACUUCAGGAAACUGGGGCUAAUACCGGAUAGGAGCUCCUGCUGCAUGGUGGGGGUUGGAAAGUUUCGGCGGUUGGGGAUGGACUCGCGGCUUAUCAGCUUGUUGGUGGGGUAGUGGCUUACCAAGGCUUUGACGGGUAGCCGGCCUGAGAGGGUGACCGGCGACACUGUGACUGUGAUACGGCCCAGACUCCUACGGGAGGCAGCAGUGGGGAAUAUUGCACAAUGGGCGGAAGCCUGAUGCAGCAACGCCGCGUGCGGGAUGACGGCCUUCGGGUUGUAAACCGCUUUCGCCUGUGACGAAGCGUGAGUGACGGUAAUGGGUAAAGAAGCACCGGCUAACUACGUG